rnacentral:misc_RNA from 1 species
GCAAACUUGGUCAUUUAGAGGAAGUAAAAGUCGUAACAAGGUUUCCGUAGGUGAACCUGCGGAAGGAUCAUUAACAAAAAAAUUUUUUGAGCCAUUUAUUUUUUUAUGGCUUCAAAAAAAAUCCACACAUUCACCCUUUGUGCAACCACUGAGAAAAAGUUAAUCUUUGGGAGAUGAGUUUCAUCUCCCAAAGGUGUUUGUGUAUAAACCUUUUUUAUUACUUAUCGUCUUAAGAUAUACAUAAUAAAUAAUAAAAACAACUUUCAACAACGGAUCUCUUGGCUCUCGCAUCGAUGAAGAACGCAGC